AACCGCAUGCAGGUAAACGGGUGGCGUCAAGCUGCAAGCCCAGAGAAUUCAGCUGGCUAGGAUGUAGUGUAUGCGCCUGGCGCAUCUAUCAGUCGGAGUAAGAUGUGAUAGUCCACUGGGAGACGGUGGGCCUGGCCGCAAGGCUGGGAUAUGUGUACCGGGUGUUAGCCGGAGCAUGCUAUUCAUCUGUUGGACUGUCUAGCUAGUGCACUUUCUCUGUGGUGAACACCACGACCGGUGGGAUUGCCAGUCUGCUGUAGCCAAGUCGUAUUGAGUGGGUCCUUGUGGCCAACUUGGUGCGAUCACAGGCAAUGUCAGUAAACGGCGUAGGGGUGCCAUUCGGUGUCCUUACGUGUUAUCGGCUACUGCUUGUCAACGGGCCUGCCUGAUGGUUGUUGUAACCGGCAUUGGGUGGUCUGGUGGGCUAUGGUGGUAAGAAAAACUGUGCAAGGCACCGGAGAUGUCGGCCUCAAAAGCGCCUUGCAUUGGCAUGUUGCAAGUGCUCAGGGGUGCCGUUGCGGUCUGCCUGUUGUUGGGUCUGAUUGUCGUGUCGCCUGCGCAAAGUGGGCCCGGCAGUGGCUCGAUGCGGGAUGGGUCGUGGACGGUGUCUCGAGUGUAGGGUGCGGUGGGCCCAAUAGUCAGUGGUGUAGUGGUAGACGAGCUACCCGACCCGUCUUGAAACACGGACCAAGGAGUUUAACAUGUAUGCAAGUCAAGGGGUCCUACGAAACCCAAAGGCGCAGUGAAAGUGAAGCUUCGACUUGUUCUCGGAGUGAGGUGAGAUCCUGCCGUGACUCGCAUCAGCUUGGUGCCAGCAUCAGGCUAAGAGCGGUGGGCGCAUCACCGGCCCGUCCCAUGUUGUGGUCAUUGGAAGUCUGUAGUUGUUGCUUGC
rnacentral:rRNA from 1 species